UCCUAAGCAGGCUCCACGUAAGAGUAUCGAUCCCACGAUCCUGGGACCAUGACCUGAGCCAAAAUCAAGAGUCGAAUGCUCAGGCGACUGAGGCCCCCAGGUGCCCCAAAGAUCCUUCUAAUAGAAGAAGGGAAUACAGAAAAAAUCCUUACUCUUGCAGGCCCUCCUCGGUACGUGGUAAACCUAGAGCCCCCGAGGGCAUGCUCGCCAAGGGAAUGACGUACACCGGACGGCAGUGCGUCGGCAUUGUUUACAACUAAUGAAAAAUACCGGGCCCAGCACUCAUGAUGUGCCGGAGAGGGAGACAAAAGCUACAUUUGAGGGUGCAGGGGGACCGGGCGGGAACCACCAGAGGCGUGCUGUGAGCAGUGCCCUGUCCAGAAAGGUGUUGCUCAUAUAGACAAAGUGUGACAGUGCCUUUCCGGAUGGAGCAGUGCUCACCCAGAGCAACAUUUGUGGUGGCUUUUGGCCAGUGAUGGGGACGGAGUUGAAUUCUUGGAGUCGUGUGCCUUGCAUUCAGGAGUGUCCGCCCGUAUCUUUGGCAUCCCCGAAAUGACGUCAGUGGUGCCUUUCCAGACACGAACGCCUACAGAUUAGUGAAGAUGAAGACACUUUUAUUUAUUUAUUUUUAAAUGUUUAUUUACUUUUGAGAGCGUGAGCAAGGGAGAAGCGGAGAGGGGCACAGAGGAUCCGAAGCAGGCUCUGUGCUGACAGCAGAGAGCCCGACGCGGGGCUUGAACUCAAAACCUGUAAGAUGAUGACCCAAGCCUAACUCAGACGUUUAACUGACUGAGCCACCCAGCCCCCGCCCCGCGCAAUGAUACUUUCUAACAGAGGAAGAAAACGUAUAAACAGACUUGUUCUCUCUAGAUCCUCAUAUUCUUCUGGUUAAAUGCAGAACAGGUGAGGGACUCCCCCUAGGGAGGAAUCCAUGUGGGAAGGCAGUAAGGCAUAAUUUUCUAAGUUAAAGGCCUUAGUGUCUUCCUUGCAAUACGGUAGAGACUGGGCAGAGUGAACACGAGAAGUACAGGGGACCUGCACUUCUCUUCUACUUUGAGCCAUGCUGUCUGCGGUGCCCUAUCCAGAAAUGUGUCAGACCGUGUGUUAAUAGCACCUGUCUGCGUGAGGCACCCCAAAAAACAUUUGUGGUGGCCUCGAGACCAGUGGUGGAUUAGAGAAGCACGUGUCUUUGAGUUUCUGCCUUGAAUGCAGGAGGGGGCUCUCGGGGUGUGAUCUGGGCAUCCUCAAGAUGACUUCAGUGUUCAGUUAUUCACAAUGUGAAGAUCUAAGGUUUCGAGAAGAUGGAAAUAUUUCCUUGUAGAAGUAGACACGUAGUUACAGUCCUGUUUCUGGGACCUCGGAGUCGUUCAGGGAAGUGCACAGCACGUGUAGGCAUCCACACUGAAGGAAGGACGCGAGCUGGUGCAUACUGGCCAGCAUUGUCUGUGUCUUUGAAAAUUCUUGGGUACAGUCAUCCUCAUGAUCGGUUUUUGGGGGCAGGAAAGCUAUACACGAGAGUGCAUAGGGGCACCGGGCAGGAUUUACUUUGAGCCGAGCUGUGUUCAGCGCCCUACUUGGAAUGGUGCUCGUCACAUACAGUAAGAGUAAUAGUGCUUCUGAAAGUUGACUAAUACCCACUAAGUACAUUUGUGGAAACCUCAGAUUCAGUGAUGGGGAUGGAGGUGCCUGUGUUCUUGAGCCAUGUGUCUUGAACCCAGGAGGGCACUGUCAACCUGCUGGUUGCGAUCUCUGGUUCCUUCAAGAUAAUUCUAGUGGUCCAUGGUGAAUAAUGUGAACGCCGAACGUGGGGAGAAGGGGAAGACGGUUCGUAGUGGAAGAAGGGAAGACUGGAACGAGCUUGUUCUCUCUCGGUCCUCCUUCCCAAUCCUCCUUGGUCACACUGAGUACUUGAGGGGAUCCUCACUGAGGGACACCUGCAAGGAGAAGGGCCUUAGGUCGGCACGGUGUAGCUUGAUGGGAAAACCUUGAACACUCCUCGUGAUGUUGGGAGGGGUGAAAGCUAUGUUUCUGGGUACAGAAGGUACUGGGUAGGUUCUCUCCUUAGAGCCCCACUGUGUGCACUUCCCAGAGACCUGCCAAUCGCUUAGACUGCCUAUCAGGACUGCUUCCGUAGGCGUCGUGACUACCGAGGACGGGAACGUUGGCGUUGGCUCUUAGGCCAGUGAUGGGAAGGAGACGUGUGUUUGCUUCCAGUUGUAUUCCUUGAUGUUGGGAGCUCUCCGGCAGCCACCUGGGUCUGCUCUCAGGCCUCCUCCCAAUGAUUUCAGUGGUACACCCCUGACGAUGUGACCCCAAGACACUGAGAUGUGAGCAGAUGCAGAAAGGUCCUUAGGGGAAGCGGAAACUGGAAGCAUCUUUGUCAGCGCGUCCUCAUAAUUGUGUUCGUAAUUGUCGAGAGGUUGAGGUUUACUCUUGUUGGGAAUUUUGCAAGUUGCAGGUAGUGGGUUGGCCUGUUGUAGGCCUAUAGCAGUCUUGGGUACAACACGAUGAUGCAGUGGGGAGAGAGGGAAAACUUCAUUUCAGGGUUAACAGGGGGCUCGAGUGGAUUCUCUGACAUGAGCCAUGCUAUAUGGAGUACGUGAAGCUCUACCACGACAAUAUUUCUGGUGGACCAGUCCUAUUGGGAUGCAGAUCCUUAAACCAUCUCCCUUGUCAUCGACCUCAGAAGGCAUAGGGAGUACCUGUGUCUCAACGGACAUUUCCUCAGUAUAAUUUCAGUGGUUCAUUCCUAACACUUACAGAUUGUCGUAGACGAAGAUCCUUCCUGACAGCGGAAGAGAACAGAGAAACAGUCCUUUUUUGCUGUGGAUCCUCCCCAUCAUCCAUGUCAAGGUAAAGGAGAUGAGUGGACCCCUGCCAAGAGACGUCUGUGAGUUGGAGCACAGUGUGUGAGGGGUGUCCUAGGGAUCAGGAACAAUGUGCGGAGCGGUGGUCCUGAUGAGGGGAGAGAGAUGAAAGGGUGUGAGGGUGUGGGCGGGUCCACCUUGGAGCCAUACCGUACGCAGUCCCUCCAGAAAGAUGCCAUUUAGGCAGACGAAGGGUCAUAGGUGGCCCCCUGCGUUGAGUAAAUUUCAGCAAGCACGACAUUUGCGAUAGCCUACAAAACUAUGAUGGGGAGAGAGAGAGACCCCCGUCACCUUCCUUCAGCUGUCUGUCUUGAACAGAGUUGGGCCCUGGUAGUGGCUCGUGUCUCUGAUGACCCUAACAUGGUUUCAGUGGCCCAUUCCUUACAUUGAUGGGAACACCUGCAGAUUAAAAAAAAAAAUGAACGUAUUUCCCAAUAAAAGAAUGGAACACAGAAACAAGGUUGUUCCCUGGGGAUCCUCAAAUCCUCCAGGUAAAGGCGGAGAACCCAAGGGAUCACCACUGAGGGAGGUGUGCACAUUAGAGGGCAGAGGUUUGGCAUUUUCUCGGGUUAUGGGGAAACAGGUGGUUCAUUCCGCCUGCUCUGGUGGGGAGAGAGAGAGAGCUACCUUUGUGAGUAUGAGGGGGACUUGGCAGGGUCUUCUGGGUGAACUUGGCAGGAUCUUCUCGGUGAGCCAAUCACGGUGAGAGGCCCUACCCACCUAGCCCGGUGCUCAUCACUUAAGACUGCGCUUUAGAUGCCCCCGUCUCCGCAGAGUAACGCUCAACAAGGAUGACGUUGUGGUGGCCUUCGGAUCAGUAACAUGUAUAGAAGUUCUCUCAUCCCUGUGCUCUCUUCCUUGAACUCGGGAGUGUCCCUGUCAGCCAGCCGAGAUCUGAGGUGUCCUCGACUUGAUUUGAGAGAGAGAUUCCUGACAGUGUGAAUACUUAGAUGUUGGGGGAAUCUAUGACAUUUCCUAGGAGAAGAAUGAGCAUAGGACGACCCCUCUUGUUUGUCUCUGCAUCCACAUAAUCACCCGGCUGAUGUAAAGGAGGGCACGUGAUCCGGAUUGAUGGAGGUUCGUGUCACUGGGGGGAAGUGGGUCGACGUUGUUCAGUGUGAUGGAGUCCUGUCAAAUACAGUCACGGUGGAGUGGUGGCGAGACACAGGAAAGCCACAUUGGACAGUUGAGUGGCCACCGGGCCGGCCAUCGACCUCGACGCACACUGUGUGCAGCACCCUGCCCAGAAAUGCACGGAUUACGUGGUCUGUGUGUAGUCCGUGCAUUUCUGGGUAGAGCGAUGCUCUACAAGCACAACGUUGGUGGUGGCAUUGGGACCGGUCACAAUGGAGGCCUGCUGUUUCCUGGUGCUAUCUGCCUGGAGCUAAGGAGUGAGUGCCUUGGGAGACACCUGGAUCUCCGCCAUCCUCAAGGUGCCGCACAGUGUUUCCUUUCUGAUGAUGUGAACACCUCAGAGAAGAGAAGAUCAUACUUCCUUUUUGAAGAAGAAAACACGGGGCCAGGAUUCUGCUCUGUUGUCUCUCAUACUCAUGGAGGUCAACACAGGGAGGUCAGCGUUUGGGGCACAGAUGCUAGUGUUCGAGCUCAGAACUUGGAACCGGGAGGCCCCUGUCAGCAACCUGGGUCAGAUGGGAGGUACCCCGAAGAUGACUUCAGUGUCCGUUGUUAUCCGUGCGAACACCCGUAGUUCAGAGGUGAGGAAGAAACUUCACGAAGAGUGAGAAAAACCAAGAACGGGCUUCCCUCUGGGUCCUCCGCACGCCCCGCACAAACGUAGAGAAGGCGAGCGCAUCCCGCGAGGGAGGGAUACGACUGGGAGACAGCACGCUGCGAUGGUGUCCGACGCGCAGACGUCUCGAGCACAGUCCUCGCGAUCUGUGGGGGGAGAGAAGAAAGCUCCAUCGAAGCCUGUAAGGGGCGUUCGGCUGGCGUUCGUCAGCGAUCCAUGCCGCGAGUGGCGCCCUGCCCGGAACGGUGAUCGUCGCAAAGAAGACCUCGUAACGUCUGCCUGUGUGGUGGGCCACCGCUCACCGGGGCGCGUGCCGGCCUGCUGCACCGCGAUGGGGCCGGAGGUGCACGUGACCCGGAGCCGCCUGCCUCAAACCCAGGAGGGCUUUGUCCGCUGCCUGCUUCCGAGCUUACGUGUCCUCAAGGCGCUCUCGCUCGUACGCUUCCACGUUGUGAUCUCCUCCAGCUUAGGGAAGAGGAGGAUACUCGCGUACAGAGGAAGAAACGCGGGACGUGCUCUUCUCUCACUGGCUCUUCGUAAUCGUCAAGGAUCACCGUCCUGGUCAACAUAGAGCAUGUGCGUGUGUGAAGUUCCCACCGAGGAGACGACGCACGUUGGGUGCGACGGAUCGGAAGUUCCUAGAGUGACGCUCAGUGAGAACCAGGAGUGUGAUGGCCUUGGCACGUGAUGGUGAUGGAGCUGAAGGUGUCCUCGAUCUUCGCGCAGUGAACUCCUAAGGUCCUCUGUAGCCACCCGGCCUCAGGCAUUCUCGGAGUGAUUCCUGUGAUGCCUCAAGAACACUGUGGACACCUGAGAAUAAUGCUCACCAAGAGCAACCUCUGCAGUGAUCUUUAGACCGGAUAUACAGACGGAAAUGCCUGUGUCCUUGAGCUACCUGUGCUGAAUGAAUACUUGAGGCCGUGACAGCAACCUGAGUGUGGUCUCGGACACCCACAGGAUGAUUUCGCGGGUUUCAUUCCAUACCACGUGACCACCUUCAGGGGAGAUGAUGAAUAGACUUGCCGGUAGAGGAGAAGACAAGAAGAGGCUUGAUCUCUUGGGGUCUUCAUCAUCCAGAUAACAGGUUUUCUCAAGGAUUCCAUGGUCCAGUCUUGAAAAUGUGAAUACCUACAAGUUCGAGAAGAUCCUUUGAGGAGAAGAACUGAAGAUAGUCGUCUUCUCACUGGGACCUCAUAGUACUCUUGGCAGAUCGGACGUAGAUGGAAUAGGAGGUUCGUGUCCGUAGCUGGCCAGCCCAGAGCCCGUGAGGGGGGAUCCCCACGGACGCAGCUGCCUCAUCUUGUCUUUGCGUGACCUCUGAGGUGGCGAGACCCGUGGGUCAUCGUAGAUGUAAUUGGUUAAGAUGAGGUCAUACUGGAGUAAGGUGGGUCCUUUACCCAAUUUGACUGGUGUCUUCACAAGAAGACAGAAAUUUCGACCCUGUUGCGGAAGGAAGAUGGAGUCCUUUGCUACACGACAAGCGACUUCUGGGCCGCCAGAAUCGGGAAGAGCAAACCUGGGAGGCAGAUGUAACGACCUCCUCAAACAGCCAAGAGAUUUUUGGUGGGUUAGACGGGAUGACACUCAUGAAAGGAUUUACCCACUGCCUGACAUCUUUUAUUUUGCUUUUGAAAUAAAAUUGGAUAUAAGGUGUGCAACAUGAUGACUCGAUAUACAUAGUGAAAUACUACAGUCAAGCUGAUGACGGCCAACUCUUCACAUAGUUCCCUUUUUACUGUUUUGUGACGUGUUUUCCACGUGUUGCUUUAUGGAAUCCCGAAACCAUGAGAUAGAGGUGACAGUGGAGUUUCGGGUGUACAUUUUUAUAAAGACGGAGAUAAUCCAGUGAAUCCUAGAAUUACGGUCCUGUCCUCUACGUCAUGGAUCCAUCGUAAAUGUUAAAACCGAGCCAUAGGCUGAAUUGUCAUAAUCGGUGAGGAACCUGAGGCCCAGAAGUGAGUCACUUUUCCAAGUCACAUAGGCAAGCCGGCAAUGUCAGGAGUCCAAUCCAGGAAAGAUGGGAAAAAAUAGAAGAAAAGCAAAACACACAAGCCACUUCUCAACCUGCAGGAACCCAAGCCAGAGGUCAGGCCUGAACCUGGAAAGAGGUAUGAGGACAGGAGUGGGGAGAAGCUUUAUAUUGGGUGUGAGAUUGAGGUUUGGAUGCAGACUGGACUGGACUUCUGAGUCGCUGAAAGUAAGUCAUGGCCAUUUGUGGGGGGUUUGAAUAACUGUGUGACCAAAACUUUGAAUCUACGCUUCCCACUGUGGAGCGAGGAGAUCCAUCAGAACAGAGCGGGGAGUGGCGCUUGGAGAAAAAACAGUCAUUUCCUAUCUGUGCCUUAUCCGUUUCAGUGCAUUUAACCAGCUGGUUGCGUUUGUGAGGGUAAGGUCUGAAGGGCGUACUGAGGGGCAGAGGUUUGGGGGAGGAACUGACCGUGGCUUGUCAGUCUGGUUUAUUGGGAGGAUACCAUACAGAGUCAGAAUCCUUUACAGCCAGUCUCGAGGGUGGGUUUUAUUGGCUAGAUGUGCCCUUGGGGAAAUUCUUUUCCCACCUCUGGGAGAAACCGUUAUCUAAAGCCAAGAUUAGUUUGGGGGACCGUUAUUGGCCGACCAGGUCGUCUGUCUGUGAAGAAUGACUGUAACACGUGGUCGGAGAAUUGCCGUGAGCCGACAGAAUGCCUAAGAUGUCCAGCCUUCGAGAUCGUUGGUGAGGUCAUCCAGACAGGCCCUCGGAGGUUGGGGCAGAAUGCUUUCAGUCCCCUUGUGGGCUUUCAGAUGAGUAGAGAGCUGGAGGACGGUGCCGGUCGGCUGGUUGUAGUUCAGGGUCAGGUCUGGCCUCCAGACAAAGUAGUCCAGCUAGGGCUCUGCAGUCCUUUCAGGCUUCCAGUGGACGUGGAUUAAUGCUAGAGCUCCAAAUAAAUGAGAGAACGGAAUGAUUUCUUCUGUGUUGAAGGGGAAGCCAAGCCAUCUGGACUCGGCACACAGGGGCAUGAGGGAAAUCCCGCGGCUUAGCAUCUGUGCACCUUCCGAGAGUCCCCGCAGCGACCGCCAGAUUACGGCAACGAGGACAGCAGGCCUGGUGGAUAUGGGGGCUCCUGGUGAAGCACCGGCUGUGGUCAGGACUGACUCCAGGAAACCGGGAAGCAUCGAAAGCUCCAGACGCCGGAAAAGCCAAUCGCCGUGGUGGAUGGCUCUUACCUUGUGGUCUGCAGAGGGCACCGCUGCCUGGGAGAGAAAACACUGUAAAGGCUACGAUGUUUACGCCGCGUGAAAGCCUGCCCGUUAUUUGUAGAAUCGAGUCCAGAUUUCUUACUCUGGCUUCCAAAGCCGCCGAAAGAGGAGGAAACUGAGGUUCAGAGGUGAAACGAAUUGGGCCAGUGCCACGUGGUGAGUUAGCAGAGACAUCGAGGCUAAAUCCUAGGGCUCCUGGUCCUUUGCUGAAUCGUCCUGCCGCUGUCCUCACACCUUCCUCGGUCAGCACAUCAGAAGGAAUCACUGUGACUGAACACCAAAACAGAACAGAACCCGAUAAAAUCCAAAGUCUUACUCGCGUGGGGAGAUGUUUGUCUCCUGACCAGGGAUCAAGGCUUGGGAAAGACUUCUGUUGGACGGGCCAGGUAAAAUCUAUUUGACUGGAUAGAGACACAUUGGCCCAGCAAUAAAACUAUGGCUGAAGUUUACGAUCAGGAAGAGGCCAAACGCCACUUGUGAGCUAAGAGCUUUGCUCACCGGAAUGAAUCGUUGGAUUUCUGAAGCUCAGCUGAGUUGUCCAAGGGUCCAUCAGUUUCCCCGAUGAUAAGAAAGUUGGCAGCGUUAGCUAAAAGGGUGGGAUGAUGAACAGCUGAAUGGGAAAACUGCCCUGGGCCCCGAAAUGUGAUAAUGGGCUCUUCCUAGAUAGAUUCGUCGUUUCCCUUUCUGAACUCUAACACAGAAUAAUUAAACCUAUCACCCCAUAGACUACUCCCCUGCAAAACAGCUAAAUGAAAAACCCAUCGCCUCCCCUGCCCCAUCCCCCCACCAAAAAAAGCAGUUGGCUGUUGUGAUUUACAAAGAAAUGAGAAGAGUGGUUUGAACAUUUUUAAAGUCCAGCUUGAGAAGAGAGCUUAAGCCAAGGCAGACGGUGCACUUGAAUCGUGUCAAAAUACAGUCGGAGGAAAGCAACGUCCGAUGUCAACAACUGCAAGGGGGAGAGGGGUAAGAGAUGUUCAGGUGGAAUCUCCUGAAUCAUUGGUUGUUUAUCAUUUGCUUUGUGUGUGGCAGUCGCUCCCGAAAUAGCCUGGAAUCCUAGCGUACGAAAGUUAGAUAUGCCUGUUGAGUUCAUCCCGUCCGACACGCUUCCGGUUGGAGAAACCGGGGCCCGGUGAGAGCUAUGACUUGUUCUCACAGCUUUUGGCUUCACGAAGAUCAGAACCCCGGGUCCCAGGACUCCUCAUUGUGAAACGCUCCCUGUGGGUUCUCGUUUUGUAUAAAUCAGACUUGAUGAGACAACCGUGUUCUGACAGAAAUGUGGUUGAAUAUGGUCUGGAACCCAAGGAAUUUCUCUCCUAUCUGGAAGACUUCAGAGACAAACCAAUUAAAUAUACGGAGCCAUAGGAAGAACUAAGUGAUAAGCUCUGGAGGAAUUCAUCAUUCAAGCUUGUCAGGGAGUGCGUUUUUCUUCAACUCAGAAUCUCCCAAUUCCAAAAGCCAAUAACAAGGCAAUCUCACAGCUCAGCAGUAAAGCUACUUUUAAAAUCUAGAAUGAGAUCAUUGGGUUCAACAGACGGACUCAAGUAUCACUUAAAAUUGGGCCUGCCUGCAUGUAAUAAACUUUGGAUCUUGGCUGUGUGUUACCAGAACGUCUCAGCUAUCCUCAUGGGGUGUGUCUUUGUGUUGUGUUGUGUGGUGUGUGUGUGUGUGUGUGUGUGUGUGUGUGUGUGUGUCUGAAAGCGAGUUCUGAAAAUGUCCCAAGUGAACAUUUGUUUCAGACUUCCGGAACAGCCAAGAAUCCACUGUAAUUAUGCUUUGAACUUCUCUUCUCCCGUUUGCAACCCUUCCUUCAUUGUUCACAUGAAAGCCAGAGUCUUACUCAUUUAUUCAUUAAGGAAGUACUUCCUAGAGAGUUACGACGUUCCAGAACACCAUGUCAGGUGUUGAUGAUGUGAAGGUGAGAGGGGCCCGAGAAGCAGGGGACAUGCCCCAGGAUUAUCCAUUCACCUAGCCUGUAUGCCCGGCGGUCACUUGGGAGCUGGAAAGUACCUUCUAUUUCAUGCUGUAGCCAACAUUCUGUCAAGAUCAAAUCUGUCCCCAAAUGCCAAGUAACUGGAUCUGACAGAUAAUUAGCUCAAAUGUUCCUUUUUAGGAUACUGUUGAUAGCAAACAUAAAAUAAUGUUUGGAAAUUAAAUUAAUAAAGAUGAUGUAUGCUAAUUACAAAGUGGUUGCCCGGGGAGACAUGCAUCGGGUUCAUUUCCAGCCCCCGUUCAGGAAGGACAGGACAGCAUCGAUUUUGAUGGUCUUUUUCCAGAAUCAACAGACACAUGGGACUUCCCGAUGUUCUAUUACCUGCAUUCAGAAUAGGGAGCUGUGCAUUCCCUUUCAUGGGCAUAUUCCAUCUCAACUAAUCUUUUUAGAGGAUCAGAUAAUCUAGCAGAU